UACGGAGGGGACUAGCGUUGUUCGGAAUUACUGGGCGUAAAGCGCACGUAGGCGGAUUUGUUAGUCAGGGGUGAAAUCCCGAGGCUCAACCUCGGAACUGCCUUUGAUACUGCAAAUCUCGAGUCCGGAAGAGGUGAGUGGAAUUCCUAGUGUAGAGGUGAAAUUCGUAGAUAUUCGGAAGAACACCAGUGGCGAAGGCAGCUCUCUGGGACGGUACUGACGCUGAGACGCGAAAGCGUGGGGAGCGAACAGG
rnacentral:rRNA from 1 species